rnacentral:rRNA from 1 species
UACGGGGGGGGCAAGCGUUGUUCGGAAUUACUGGGCGUAAAGGGCUCGUAGGCGGCCAACUAAGUCGGACGUGAAAUCCCUCGGCUUAACCGGGGAACUGCGUCCGAUACUGGAUGGCUUGAGUUCGGGAGAGGGAUGCGGAAUUCCAGGUGUAGCGGUGAAAUGCGUAGAUAUCUGGAGGAACACCGGUGGCGAAGGCGGCAUCCUGGACCAUUACUGACACUGAAUAGCGAAAGCCAGGGGAGCAAACGGG